rnacentral:rRNA from 1 species
CACCGCGGCCAUACGAGUGUUAGCCCAAGCGGAAGGUCAACGGCGUAAAGAGUGGUUAAGGACUCACCGAACUAAAGCCAAACGAUCUCCAAGCCGUCAUACGCACCCGAGAGAAUGAAACCCCACCACGAAAGUGGCUUUAACUAGACCUGAACCCACGAUAACUAGGACA